GUGGGGAAUUUUGGACAAUGGGCGCAAGCCUGAUCCAGCCAUUCCGCGUGCAGGAUGAAGGCCUUCGGGUUGUAAACUGCUUUUGUACGGAACGAAAAGCCUCUGGUUAAUACCCGGGGGUCAUGACGGUACCGUAAGAAUAAGCACCGGCUAACUACGUGCCAGCAGCCGCGGUAAUACGUAGGGUGCGAGCGUUAAUCGGAAUUACUGGGCGUAAAGCGUGCGCAGGCGGUUUUGUAAGACAGGCGUGAAAUCCCCGGGCUCAACCUGGGAAUUGCGCUUGUGACUGCAAGGCUGGAGUGCGGCAGAGGGGGAUGGAAUUCCGCGUGUAGCAGUGAAAUGCGUAGAUAUGCGGAGGAACACCGAUGGCGAAGGCAAUCCCCUGGGCCUGCACUGACGCUCAUGCACGAAAGCGUGGGGAGCAAACAGGAUUAGAUACCCGUGUAGUCC
rnacentral:rRNA from 1 species